rnacentral:rRNA from 1 species
UGUCAGCCCGACGGCACUUGUCUCAAUUUUACAAUGUCUACCAUUCUGCAUGGUCGGGAAUUUACUCUAGAGGAUGGGAAACUGUAUAAAAACUAGAGCUAAUACAUGCCGAAGCCGCAAGGUUGUAUUUAUUAGAUAUUCCAAUUAGGUGAAUCAUGAUAACUUUGUCAAAUCUCUGGAAACGAAGAGAUAAAUCAUCCAAGUUUCUGCCCUAUCAUGCUUUCGAUGGUAGUGUAUUGGACUAUUCCGCCCCUGCUCUCCCCAGGGAAUUAGGGUUUCUCCCCUCUUUGAAGGAGCCUGAGAACGGUUGGUACAUCUACGGAAGGCAGCAGGCCCCUUCAUUACCCAAUCCUGACUCAGGGAGGUGGUGACUUUUAUUAUCACGCAUUUCAUUGUGAUUGUAGUGAGGGAUUCCAACCGAACCCUAGUACGAUUAGAGGGAAGUCUGUGCAGCAGCGCGGUAUUCAGCUCUAUAGCGAUAUAAGUGCUGCAGUUAAAGCUCGAGUGGAUUCAGGAUGGACUCUCUCGAGUAUCAUCUAUAGCUUGACUGUCUGUAGAAUAAGGUUAGAGCAUGCAGAUCAUACUGAAACGAGUCUGACUGUACUAGUCCUAAAACUGGGGUGUUAUGCAGAUGUUAAAUGAUCGAGUUCUCGAAGGGAACGGCUUACGGGGCCUCACUGGUAACGGGCGAAAAAAAAGGUGGUGGGUGCGGCAGCAGUGUAUGUGCGCCAUGA